GCAGGCAGCCAUAUCGCCCUGCAACUCACAACUGGCAGCCCACUGAAGCUCAGCAGGUGUGAGCCUGGUCAGUACCUGGAUGGGAGACCUCCUGGGAAAAACUAAGGUUGCUGCUGGAA
rnacentral:rRNA from 1 species